AAGCCAUGGUGGGGACAUCUUCGGAGAAGAUCCUUGAAUCUCUCAUAAGCUACAAAAAGUGUUUCGACUCCCUUGUUUGAAUGCAGAAAUUUCUUGCCUUAGCUU